CCCUUAGAUGUUCUGGGCCGCACGCGUGCUACACUGAGUGGAUCAGCGGGUCAGGUUGCGCGAAAGCGUUUCCUAAUCUUUAAAUCCGCUCGUGAUGGGGAUUGACGGUUGCAAUUUUCUGUCAUGAACGAGGAAUACCUUGUAAGCGCGGGUCAUCAUCCCGCGCUGAAUACGUCCCUGCCCUUUGUACACACCGCCCGUCGCUCCUACCGAUUGAGUGGUCCGGUGAGGCUGUGGGAUCUGAGCGGAAAGAGCGUUUCGCUGUUUCUGCUCGGAAAACUCAGUCGAACCUUAUCAUUUAGAGGAAGGAGAAGUCGUAACA
rnacentral:rRNA from 1 species